GGGCCCGUAGCUCAGCUUGGAUAGAGCGGCAGCCCCCUAAGCUGUAGGUCGCGCGUUCAAAUCGCGCCGGGCCCG
rnacentral:tRNA from 1 species